UAUUAUUACACUUUCUUUUAAUCAUGUCCUGAAAAACAAAAAUACUGAACACAUGAAAAAGUAAUUUUAAAAUAGAUUUACACGAUUUUACACGAAUACAACUUAACUCAUUUAAGCUUGGCAAAAACGCACACACACACUGUAACACAACCAAAAAACAUCGUAAGCAACAUUUAUAAAGACAGAAUGCAUUACGUCAACUUGUCAAAUCAAACAUAGCAUGUGACCCAAAACAAUUCAUGACUAUUUAGAACUAAAAGAACCAAGCUAUGUAUUACCCAGCAGAGGCCCAGCCAACACGAGAGUAUUUACAGGAGAUAUGUCAAUAAUAUACACUGCUUGUGCUCAUUCUCAGCAUUUCUAUAUAAGAAUUAAUUUGAUCCAUGGAACAAAUGUGUUAGAACUUCAACUUAAGCCACUCAGUAUUUCACACAAAGUGGACAUAUUAUAGUCAUAGCAGGCUCCAUUAUCUUGUACAUUGAGGUCAGAGGAAAGUCUGACAACAUUCCUUUACCGAAUUCUAUGCGACAGUACAAAGUAAACAUAAAUUGCAGUUUCUAAAAUGCUUAACGGAUAAAAAGGUAAAAGCUAUUACAAGUAAUUGGGGUAAAAUAAAAAGGAUAUGGACUCAUGUAUAUUUGUACAAUAUGUCAACAACUUCCCCAACCUAAAGCUUAAAAUAAAUAUCUGCCUGCUCAAUAAAAAAAAAAUCAUGUAAUUUGAAACAAAACAAAUAAAACUGUAAAAGACUAAAAACAAUAUAAAGAUCUUAUAAAUCUAUUUUUUUAAUUCUAAAAUGUACAAGGAAAAAAUGUAAUUAAUUUCAAGACAGUGUAUUCUUCAUAAAAUACUAAUAUUUGAAGCUCAAUUUAUAGAAUAAAUUUUUCUGUAAAUUUGAUCCUCUUAUUGGUUUGUUGGAACUUCUAUUAACAUUGCACUUCUCUCUAUUCCCACCCCCCC